rnacentral:lncRNA from 1 species
CACUUCUGACUUCUAUUACUUGUGUGAACUUCUGGAAGUCACUCUGAUUCUCAGUUUCCUAAUUUGUAAAAAGGAGGUAAUAUCUACAGUGCCUACUUCAAAGAAUUGUUGAGAUAUCAUAAGCAUAAAGUUUUUCUAGCUUUAAAGAACAAUAUAAAUGCUGAUCAGGCAGCCAGUUAGCAUUCAUUAAGCACCUACUAUGUGCCCUGUACUGGACUGCAUAUUGUCAUAAUUAUUGUUACUGUUAUUUUGUCCAGAAUUCAGGCAUAUUGGCUAACCUCAUACCUGGAAUGGUUGUGACAGUUCUGUGGCUUCACUUAAAUUUAUUGCUUUAGGAAAAGAAGGAAAAGGAACAAAAAUCAGGAUUAUUCUCCACCUGCUGUCUGGAUAAAGGGCUCUAUUUAUAAACAGAGGAUUUCAUUUGGCCUAUGUAGAUGUAGCCUCGUCUGCAUGCUCCCAGAUGGAAACCAUGUUGGUGUUGCUUCUGAGUGCCUUUCUCGGUUCAAAGUGGAUUUUCUGCAUCCUAGGUGUCCUUGGAGUAGAUGCUUAACAGACAGUGGAAUGUGAACUGGGACCUGGAAAGAAAGGGAACUGUCAAAAGACCAAAGAACAACAGUCUGGAAAUAAACUUGAAAAGGAAAAAGAGAGAAAAAAGCCUAGAUGCCUGUGCAGCCAAGAGUGUGUGACUAGCACUUGAAUGGCAGAUAAAGAGACCUGACACCCAGUACGACUCUUCUGCCAUGAUUGUGUUUUCACUGGAGGAAGCUGUUCGUGAACAAAAGGGAAAGAAGCCACUGAUAGAAAAGAGACAGGCAUGUUUUUUUCAUACACAAUAUGCAGCAUCUACAGAAGUAAGAGGGAAGGAAAUCAGUGGAAUAAGAAGUCAUUGGGGAGAGUAGCAACACACAUGGGAUAAUGGCAUUGCUUAUAUCUCCCCAAACCUGUACCUCACUUCUCCUCACAACUCAGCUUGAGCCUUACACAGUGUUAUAUCAACAGGUAAAUGGAAUCUAUUGCAGCUAUUAAGUGCAAAACAUUAUGCCAAACCCAGGGUUACAAAAAAUGGGCAC